GACAUAGGUGGCGAACGUUAUCCGGAAUUAUUGGGCGUAAAGGGCGCGUAGGCGGACAGUUUAGUCAGAGGUGAAAGCCCAGGGCUCAACCUUGGAAUUGCCUUUGAUACUGGCUGUCUUGAGUUCGGGAGAGGUGAGUGGAAUGCCGAGUGUAGAGGUGAAAUUCGUAGAUAUUCGCAAGAACACCAGUGGCGAAGGCGGCUCACUGGCCCGAUACUGACGCUGAGGCACGAAAGCGUGGGGAGCAAACAGG
rnacentral:rRNA from 1 species